GAUUUACGGUUUUGUGCCACGAAAUAAAAUAUAUUUCAUUAGUAAUCCUGAUUUUCAAGGGAUAACAGCUAGGGGAGAAACGUUUCUAUAAUUCCCAGUUAAAAUGUCGACAGAAGACUUGGACGGCUGGGACGAUUUUGAAGCAUGGUUGGCUAAGCAGCAUACCAAUGAUGAUGCUUUGAAUGAAGAUGCCGCGGAUCGUGAAUGCCAGCAGAAGGGGGAAGAAGAGCUUCAACAGAGCAAGGAAAUCCUGCCAAAGGCCGAUGAUGGCUCUGACGAAAGUGAUUUAGAUGUGGCGGAGUUUAACGACCCCUCACAGAUGACACUAGAGCAGCUGGAGAAGGCACAAAGAAUAUACUUACGCCGCUUGAAGCGCGAGGAAUCUAAGGAGGGAACUUGCUUGAAGCAGCAAGAGUGUCUGGAGCAGAAAGAGUCUUUGGAGCAGGAAGAGUCUUUGGAACAGGAAGAGUCUUUGGAGCAGGAAGAGUCUUUGGAACAGGAAGAGUCUUUGGAGCAGGAAGAGUCUUUGGAACAGGAUGAGUGUUUGGGGCAAGAGCGCUUCCAGAUGCGUCGCAUAAAUCUGAAGCGCCAGCGAUCAAUUAAUGAUGGUACCACUGCCCUCCAGCGCUUGCACAACGAUCGUCUUCAAACAUCAGAAAAUAAACCCAAUGCCCAGCGCCAGAAGGACAGAAUCUUCAAAUGGUUGGAAGAUGACCGCCGGGAUCGGGCUAAGCUCAGCAAUAACAAAAGGCUUCCGCGAGUGUCGAAAGUGAAGCUAAGGGCAUCAGAUAUCUACUCUGACAACUCCAGCGAUUCGUCCUCGUCAAAUGAGGCAGACGACAACGAAAAACGGCAGCCCAUGAAUGCCAGUCCAACAUUGCUCAGCACUUUGGAUCAGCUUAACAACGUGGUGCUUAAACGUAGCCAGCUAAUAAGUUUUGUCGACAAGCCCAUAUUCGGGCAGACGGUGAUCGAUUGCUUUAUACUAAUGCACAAUAACAAUCUACGGUCGACCAUCUACCAGAUUACUGGCCUGGUUCACACGGAUGUGACGUACCAACUGGGCCACAAGACAACGGAUUACCAGUUGAACGUACGUCACGGUAGACUGGAGAGAUCGACCCGCUUGGGCGCCGUUUCCAAUAGUCCAGUACCAACUGUGGCAUUCCGAAAUUGGAUUGAUAGCUGUGCGAAGGAUAACUGGAUCCUGCCGGAGCUCUCGCUGAUCACGAAGAAGGAGCAAGACAUCAAAAAGGCCACCAAUUACAUUUUUACCGAAGACGAUGUGGCUGAUAUAAUUAAAAAGAAACGCGAGUCGGGCCUGAGUCAGGAGAAGGUCGCUGUGCGGAAAAUACGUCUGUUCGAGGAACGCGACUUGGCUCUUACCAACAACGACCACGAGAAGGUCGUUCGCUUGGAUAAGGAGAUUAAGGAGAUCGACCAGGAUCAGGACAAGGCGAAUUUUGGACAGAAGGUGCCACGAUUCGGGGGUUCAUUGCGUAGUGGUCUUACCUCAUAUGUUCCAAAAAAUCCAGUACAAAAAUCGGAACAGCGCCGUGAAGCCGCUCUUGUUCCUGCGUUGCAGCGACGUCAAACAGCUCCUGUGCGCAAAGGCAUCUCAGCUGCUGCUGGCCGUCCACUGCCUUUGCCUGCCAAAAGAUGCUUUCCUGAGAGUGCUCCCAAGCCACUAGAUACCAGUCUGGAGCGCUGUAUAAAGCGCAAAUACAAGAAAAGUGCCCUGGGGAAACGCAGUCCAGAGCCCGUUGCCCAAGUCCCUGAAGUUGUGGCGCCGCAGGAAGCGAAGAAAGAUCCCAGCCUUUACGAUUUGCACGAUUUUCAUGUGGACGUAGAUACCUCGGCAUUAGCCUUGCUUUAUUUGUAGCUCCUUUCGAUUCGCUGUUUGGAAAAGAGGAAAGUCCGGACCCAGCUUUGGAGUAGCCUACAAUUUGAGACCAGAUGUAUAAUAUAUGCUUAAUCAUUAAUAAUAUUACCAGCUUUCCAAUCCAGAACGAAAAAAUACGCUUCCUUCGGAGUUCUCCCGCAGUAGAUGCUAAUUGAACAACAAGUAAGCCAACAAACUAGUCCUCUCUCUAUCCUUCCAAUAGACACGCCGCAGCCUGUCAACACUGCUGCGUGGUUGCGGUGGGACGCUGCUCCGAAUUAAUCCAAUCGAGUGCGGUUGUUAGGCAAUUGGGGGACUGGCUUCAUGGGCAGUCUACAAUGGGCGUUGUUUUUAUACACACUUUUAAUUCACUGAUUCCCUUGCGAAGCGCGAUUUCGAUAAUGGAAAUGAAUAUCGAUAGCCCUAUCGAACCUUGGAAGCUUGGAAUGUUUGCCGAUGUCGGUAUUGGAAAGGAGUAUCGAUAGGUAGUUAUUUUUCCAUGCGCUUGAGCACGCGGCUUUUUUUAAUUAUCUGUGAUUUCGCGUUUUAUAAAAUAAUAAUAAGAAGAAUUACCCAUGAGUGAUUAGUGUUUAAAUAUGUUUUUUAUUGUUUUCAAGUCUGAGGUUUUGGUAGCUUAAAUCGCGCGUGUGUGUGUGUAAGUGAAAUGAGCAGCAGCCCAGCAACGAGUUUUUUUGUUGUUUGUUUUGAUUAAAACAAACACAAACAGAUAAAAAGGGGUUAAAAUAUUAAUAUUUAGUGGUUUUGUUGCAAUAAAGUGUGCUUUAUUUAAUGUAAAAUGAUCAAAACACGUAAAAAUUUGAUGGCGCAAGGGGCCUGUAUGUAAUAACUGUGUAUAUACAUACAUAUGUAUACAAUAUACAUACAUAUGUACUUCCUGUACGCAUUAAGUGUGUAUUUGCAUAUAAAAUCAAUCUUCCAACCACUUGAAGGUUGAUUUUGAUCAUUUUUUGGCACUUGCGGGACUUGAUAGAUGGUUAAUAUUACAUUUGUCACACACUCCCGCACACAUACUAUCAUCCACUAUAUGAAGAGAAAACCAGAGGAACUCAUUCAUAGUCUGUGCAUCAUCGACGACAACGACUGCCCCGGCAUCAGAGGGCAUCAAAGUGGAAUUGGAUUCAUCUGAAAGAGGUGGGUCAUAAUUGAAGAUAUGAUGCUCCAUGCGCCAUGCCCCAUGCCCCAGCCAUGAGCAAAGGUGACACCAGAGGAAAGAACUUCGACUGGCAAUAAAAUAAAUGCCAUUUACUGAUGAGUCAUCAGCAUAAUUUUUACGAUUUGUCCCAUUCGAUGAAUAAACAAAUAAACCAAUGGACACGGGAGCUGGGACCCGGGACUGAGGACCCUCUGGAUUGGACUCUAGUUUGAGCGUGUCACGAAAACAUUUCGCAUGCAUUGACUUUUUAUGGCAGCCCCAAAAUCGAGUGAACCGAACGCACGAAUCGAAAAGCCACAUGGACCGACGAAAGAGAGGCGGAGAGGGGCACUGGGUAUCCACAAAUAAUGCAAAAUCAUUUAGUGGAACUCCUAGGCACACACACCGUACAGAUGCUCGCACCCCUCCCGCCUUAAAGUCAUAAAAUCCGGCACCGAAUGAAAUUCUCAUCAAGACGCAAGUUGGCACAAUUUCAGUUUGGCGCUGAAGCAACUUGAAAACACGACCAAAAUGAGCCCGAAUCGCAGUAGGAGUCGUUGCCGCAGCCAGGACUCUCGGCAGUGGUCAGGCAUGGGGCCAGCAUCGUGCUUCUGCUGCUGCUGCUACUCCUGCUCCUGGCAAUCGCGCGUGACUAACGUAAUCAGCUCACGUAACGCCUGAAUGAGAUGAGAUGAAAUCAGCAUACACUCCGGGCCACGCAGGACUAUGCUCUCCUACGCUGCCGUCGCUCCGCACCGAUUCCGACUGCAUAAAUGUCGAAUUUAUACGAAAAUGAAGCGGCGCAGGCCAUUCGACCAGCUGCUGGGGCAUCAUUCACACGGCCACCAGAUGCUUUGAGGGGUAAGUACUACCCCCCUAACGAAAUGUUUUGUAGAUCUUUGACACGCGAUACUGGCCUGGCCUGGCUGUCUUUGGUGGGUGUUCGGAUGCAAAACGAUCGUUGGAGCUGGGGAUCUUGGGAGCUUAAAGGAGGAACAAUGGAGAGAUCUAUAAAUGGGAUUCUUGGACAUUAACGAAAGAGGAGAUUUGUAAAUGGGAACCUUUUGGAAGCCUAUAAGAUAUAUCUAAUCGUAUCUACUGGCAGGACUCAAGUACUUAUAUGAUUACUGCCUUCGAACAAGCGAGCAGAGCGGAUUCCAUUUAAAUUCAAAGACCUAUCAUUAGACUCUUACAUCUACAAUUCCCCAACGCGCGCGCGAGAGUGAGAGAUCAACAAUUGUGGUGGUUUCAGCGGCGAUUUAAGCGCUGGGCACACGCAAUCCCCUGCCCCGUCCAUGGAGAGCCUGCCCUAUAAAGUAGAUUUGCAUGCGACGCCCCAGAGACCCCUCUUGGCUGUAGGGGGGGCUGGCAUCCCCAAUUGAAUGGGGGACUGGCGCGAAUCCGUUGAUGUGAUGACAGGAGUGGCUGCAAAUGGGGAAAAACGCACAGAACACAAGAAAUCACUGGCGUGUCGUCCUAGCAGGCUGUUUACUGAAGCCUCCGCCGAAGUACUGCUGAGUAGCGAUGGAUCUCCCGCAGGAAGGCCUUCAAAUCUAAGACCUGGAUAUCAUGAUUGUUGCUUGGCCAGCGGCUCAGGGCAAAGUUGUUUUCCGGAUCUUGGAUACAUGGCAUUUCGAUCCCUGCCCACGACCACCACGCGGCACAAAUUCCUAUUGAGGUUGUAGAGAUUCUUCUGUCCAUCCACCAUUCAUUGAUAUCUGGGAUCGUGGCUUCCAGCAGAAGAAGGGCAGUGAUGCCUGCUCCUAGCUCUGCUCUGCACAAAGAAGUCCAAGCCAAGACGAUUCUUGCAGCACCAGCCCGUCUGGAUCGUGGAUCGCCAGGACCAGGGUAUACGGUGGCUGGAUGUAGGACGGCUUCACAGACAUUGGCUCCUCCAGCAUUUUCCGAGAAUACUGCAGGGAAAGCCACAUCCUCUCCAAGUA